rnacentral:rRNA from 1 species
UGGGUAACCUGCCUCAAAGAGGGGAAUAGCCUCCCGAAAGGGAGAUUAAUACCGCAUAAUAUGUUUUGGUCGCAUGACCGAAACAUCAAAGGAAUUUCUUCGGAAAUUUCACUUUGAGAUGGACCCGCGGCGCAUUAGCUAGUUGGUGAGGUAAAGGCCCACCAAGGCAACGAUGCGUAGCCGACCUGAGAGGGUGAUCGGCCACAUUGGAACUGAGACACGGUCCAGACUCCUACGGGAGCAG